rnacentral:lncRNA from 1 species
AAGAACAAAGGAAGAAAAAGGAAGAACAAGAACCCUAAGGUGAAAAUUCAAGAGAAAAUUGGUGCAUUUCAAGUAAUUAAGCAAUCAAAGGUAAAAUUUCUUGAUUUUGACUUGUGAUCUACCUUUCUCAUGCAUUAUUUUGCAUUUUCCAUGGUUGAAUCACAAGAUAUCAUGAAGGAUAGUGUGCUGAUCAAACCCUAGAAGAGAGGUUUUGAUGCUUGAUUUGGUUAGAUUUCAAUGUAUUUUAGUGUUUUUAGUUGAUUGGUGAUGUGUAGCAUGAAAAUCAAGCAAGAAAAAUUCAUAUUCUCCCAUCACCCAUCAUUGGCCGAAUUCUCCAUGUGGAAUAUUGAAAUGAUUUUGAUUUUAUUUUAAGUGAUUUGGUUAAGAAUUACUGAUUUAUGGUGUGAGAAUCAAGUAGGACAAAUUAUAGUGUUGAUGCACCCACCAUGGCCGAAUUUUCCAAGAGAAAAUGUGAGGAUGAUUUUGCCAUAUUUCAAGUUAUUUAAUUUGUGUUUGAUGAUUUGGAGUAUUGGGAGAAAAAUGAAAUUAUUUGGAGUUGAAUUGGACGUAUUGGCCAAUUAAUCGAGUGAUAGAUUGAAUUAGGUCAAUACCGUUUAAUUUAGGUACAUAAUUGAAUUUGUGUAGAACACCGUGUUUAGACAAUAAUCUGAACAAUUUACAUCCCAUUUCAUACAUUAGUAUAAAGCCUGAAUUGGUUUUAUAACAAUUUAGCACAAUGUAGUAAAUGGCUUAUUGUGCAUUAUGUCUAGAUGGUGAGCAUUCUGGCAAAAGUAAAGAGAUAGUACCCAAGGAUCAAGAAUCGGAGUACUUGGAAUUCGACUCCCGAAAUAGUGAGUAACCUUACUAUCGUCUUAAUUAUCUAAAGUAGUUUUUAAUCGUUUUUAUGAAUUUUAUGGAAAAUGAGUUUAAAUGAUUAAUUUUUAGGUUUUAUAAACAAAAUGUGUUUAAAUAAAAUGAUUUUAUAAAUGGUCUUGAAAUUGAAUGAAGGCUUUGAAAAUAGAGUAAUUGGAGACCAUUUGAUGUAUUGUGAAUUUAUGGUUCUACUUGAAUGGCUUAUGACAAUAAUUGCAUGAAUGGUUGAAUUGAUAUUUGUGUUGAAAUGUAUGAACUGUGUAUUUAGCCUUGAGAGGCUGUAAAAUAAAAUAAUUGCCAUGUCAUGCUAUCGUAAAUUUUAUUGUAUGGUGGGUUUAGCUUGCUGCAGUGGGCGGGUUUUCUGUGGACCAGCCUAUUAGAGGGGCACAGAAUCCCGUUAUAUUUUACCUCGGUUGGAGAGGCGAGUAGGGUAACUCCCGAGGUAUAACUUUACAGUUCACUUCACGUCAAACCACGACGUGAGGGUGAACUUAGCCAACGCCAAGGAACAACUAUGUUUUUAAAAUAAAAACAUGAUUGAUGCGUACAUAACUUUUUAACAGCCUUGGCGGACUCGGUUGGGAUAACCCUCGAUCAAGGUAUUCUUGAUAACUAGGUAUGAGAAUGAUUUUGGCACGAGCCAAAGUUUUAAGAAAUUCAUAAGCCAUGUUGAUAACUCGAUUUAUAUGAAUUGAUUUUAUUUGGUUAAAACAAAUUGAAAGGUGAUAAAUUACAAUUUGUUAAACUAUUUUAUCUGUCUCCAUUUACUCGGCUUUAGAUAUUUUAGAUGAUAUUUGUUUACUCACUGGGAUUAUAUAAUCUCACCACCCUCAUUUCCACCCAUUUCAGGCUUAGGAUAAUCUAUAGAUAGCUGAUUUCAUCGAGGUUACUAUUAGAUUUGCAUCCUCCAAAUUGUAGGUUCACAAUCUUUCUUACUUUUGGUUAUUCGAGGGCUUACUUGUUACUGUAAAUUAAAUUAAAUACUCCGGCUUACUGUAUUACAAUAUAUAUGAAUUUAUCUUGUUUUUACGCUGUAAAAAUUAUUUAUGCAGUGUUCUAAAAAUAUUAUUUUAUGAGAAAAUUAAAUAUUUUAUUCAAUAUUUUUAUUUUAUUCUAAUAGUCAUAAUUUCAUUUUAAACGAAUGUUUUAGACAUCCAAAUUUAUUUUUGAUUAUGAAAUAUGUGUUUUGCACCCGUAUACUACAUUGUUAGCUGGUUUCGAAAUUUUCAGGAAAAAAUAACUAAAAUACUCCUACGAGACGAAAAUUAUUUUUUUAUUAUUUUAAGUUGGAAAUAGUUUAAAAUCUUUUAGAACGUGAUACUUGGCAACGAUUACUCACAGGGGAAAUGAGAAACUGAUAUGAAAGCCUUGUGGGGUUCCGGUUGGCAUUUCAGGUAAUGAGUGUCUAUCGAGACACCGCGACGGUUGUCAUGGGCUCGAGGGGAGUACUAGGUCGUGACAGGAACAGCCUAUGGUGAGACUUAACAUGAUUGAAAUCAAAUGUCCAAAGGCUUGAUUGGGCUUUGAUUAUGGUUUGAAAUAUUGUAAUGUGUUUAGAUUGAUAUGAGAUUACAUCCAUGUACAUAGUUAUGAAUCUGGAUAUGCAUGACAAGAUUUGGAAAUAUAAAUGAGAA